UGGUUAAAAAGCUCGUAGUUGGAUCUCGGCGGACUGAGGGCGGUUUGCUUGCUAGUAUUACUGCCCUAUAGUCCGUAGUUUUGCCAGAGGUUUCGGGGUGCUCUUAAUCGAGUGUCCCGGGAUGCUGGCAGGUUUACUUUGAAAAAAUUAGAGUGCUCAAAGCAGACUAUUACGCCUGAAUAUUCGUGCAUGGAAUAAUAGAAUAGGAAGUCGUUUCUAUUUUGUUGGUUUUCGGAAUCGACUUAAUGAUUAAUAGGGACAGUCGGGGGCAUUUGUAUUCAAACGACAGAGGUGAAAUUCUUGGACCGUUUGAAGACAAACUACUGCGAAAGCAUUUGCCAAGAAUGUUUUCAUUAAUCAAGAACGAAAGUUAAAGGUUCGAAGGCGAUUAGAUACCGCCCUAGUUUUAACCAUAAACGAUGCCAGCUAGCGAUCUGCGGACGUUUUUUUUGUAGACUCCGCAGGAAGCUUCCGGGAAUUCCAUUAGCAUUUGGGUUCCAGUGGGAAAGUAUGGUUGCAAAGCUGAGACUUAAAGGAAUUGACGGAAGGGCACCCACUCAGGAGUGGAGCCUGUGGCUUAAUUUGACUCCACACGGGAAAUCUCACCAUGCCCGGACACUG
rnacentral:rRNA from 1 species